rnacentral:rRNA from 1 species
CAAGGCCUUGCGCUCUUUGAGCGGCCGAUGUCAGAUUAGCUAGUUGGUGAGGUAAGGGCUUACCAAGGCGACGAUCUGUAGCGGGUCUGAGAGAAUGAUCCGCCACACUGGAACUGAGACACGGUCCAGACUCCUACGGGAGGCAGCAGUGGGGAAUUUUGGACAAUGGGGGCAACCCUGAUCCAGCCAUGCCGCGUGAGUGAAGAAGGCCUUCGGGUUGUAAAGCUCUUUCGGCCGGGAAGAAAUCGCAUGGGCCAAUACCCUGUGUGGAUGACGGUACCGGAAUAAGAAGCACCGGCUAACUACGUGCCAGCAGCCGCGGUAAUACGUAGGGUGCGAGCGUUAAUCGGAAUUACUGGGCGUAAAGCGUGCGCAGGCGGUUUUGUAAGACAGGCGUGAAAUCCCCGGGCUUAACCUGGGAACUGCGUUUGUGACUGCAAGGCUAGAGUACGGCAGAGGGGGGUGGAAUUCCACGUGUAGCAGUGAAAUGCGUAGAGAUGUGGAGGAACACCAAUGGAGAAGGCAGCCCCCUGGGUCGAUACUGACGCUCAUGCACGAAAGCGUGGGUAGCAAACAGGAUUAGAUACCCUGGUAGUCCACGCCCUAAACUAUGUCAACUAGGUGUUGGGUGGGUAAAACCAUUUAGUACCGUAGCUAACGCGUGAAGUUGACCGCCUGGGGAGUACGGCCGCAAGGUUAAAACUCAAAGGAAUUGACGGGGACCCGCACAAGCGGUGGAUGAUGUGGAUUAAUUCGAUGCAACGCGAAAAACCUUACCUACCCUUGACAUGCCAGGAACUUGCCAGAGAUGGCUUGGUGCCCGAAAGGGAGCCUGGACACAGGUGCUGCAUGGCCGUCGUCAGCUCGUGUCGUGAGAUGUUGGGUUAAGUCCCGCAACGAGCGCAACCCUUGUCGUUAAUUGCCAUCAUUUAGUUGGGCACUUUAACGAGACUGCCGGUGACAAACCGGAGGAAGGUGGGGAUGUCGUCAAGUCCUCAUGGCCCUUAUGGGUAGGGCUUCACACGUCAUACAAUGGUCGGUACAAAGGGUUGCCAAGCCGCGAGGCGGAGCCAAUCCCAGAAAGCCGAUCGUAGUCCGGAUUGCAGGCUGCAACUCGCCUGCAUGAAGUCGGAAUCGCUAGUAAUCGUGGAUCAGCAUGUCACGGUGAAUACGUUCCCGGGUCUUGUACACACCGCCCGUCACACCAUGGGAGCGGGUUCCGCCAGAAGUAGGUAGCCUAACCGCAAGGGGGGCGCUUACCA